GUCCCAGCCAGCCCUGAUGGCUCCUGACCUGUGCUAAAUUCUGGCCAAAACCAGUUUUUGAUGGGUGCCUGCCGUGGCUGCCCGUUAACAGCCACCGUGGCACAUCAAUAGGUGGUCGGUAAAGGGAUGGUAUUCAUCAAAUGGAAGAUGUAACCCCUCUCUACAAACCUGACCUCGUUUGUUAUUAAUUUGUGUGAAGUGCUGUAGAAAGAGAGCAAAACCCCGGUCCCAGUGGAGGGGGGGACGUUAAGGAAACGCUGCGAGAGACGAGGACACACAAGGAGGACAGAGGCGAUGGUCCCAGGAAAAGCAACUCGCUGUCAUAGUCAGCCUGUUUACUCACCUGGCUGAUCCUGGGGCAGAAAAAGGGGUGUGUUUGAAUAAAUCAAACACCACAGUUC